UAUAAUUACAGUAUUCUCUAUCAAAAACAAUUUCCCAUUACAGUAUUGAUAAACGUACACGUGAAUAGCACAUGUAAAAGUCAUAAAGCAUAUAUCACAAUCAGUUCAUAGAUAUGUUGUGAACAGUUGAGAGUUUAAGCCAGAUAGGAAUGAGAUGUAAUGUAUAGCAAGUGUUUCGCCAAAAACGGAGAUCCCCAAAUUGUUCUUCAAUCAGAUGACAGCUGCUUGUACUCUGCCAGCAGGCUUGGGAUGUCAUCCAUUCGUAGCUGAGAAGCAUUUUUAAUAUGAUAAAACCGAUGAGCAUAUUUCCCAGGAAAACCAGACUCCAUGGAAUGUAAAUCAGCUCCACCUUUUGCUAAAAAACGACGAGUAAUCAGUCGUUGGUAGUCACGAAGCAACGGUCCGAGCUCCUUUAGUGGUGUAGACCUGGGUAUAGACUUUCUCCAGUGAUUACGAAGUGCCUGAAUUUUCUGUUCAUUGUUAUCUCCCAUAAAUCCUGAUGCAAGUUCAAGAAGUUCUCCAUCUUCCAACUCAUCUACAAUUUGGAGCCCAGAAUUUGAUAGUGAAACUGAAACUUCUAACCUCCUUUGUAAUUCUGAGACAGCAUAUUCUUCCCUUUGGCUUUC
rnacentral:misc_RNA from 1 species